UACAUGGGGUGCAAACGUUGCUCGGAAUCAUUGGGCGUAAAGCGCGCGUAGGCGGUUACUUAAGUCGGAUGUGAAAGCCCUCGGCUUAACCGAGGAAGUGCAUCCGAAACUGAGUAGCUAGAGUACUAAAGAGGGUCGCGGAAUUCCCGGUGUAGAGGUGAAAUUCGUAGAUAUCGGGAGGAACACCGGUGGCGAAGGGCGGGUCCUUCUGGGGACCGAAAGUCGUACGUACGGCUGAAGCAGGCCGAAAUGGACGGUACGGGGGACGGCGAAAAAGCCAGGGAUUUGGGGAAGGAAACCCCCAAACUAGG
rnacentral:rRNA from 1 species